rnacentral:rRNA from 1 species
UUGAACGCUGGCGGCAGGCCUAACCCCUGCAAGUCGAGCGGAUGAAGGGAGCUUGCUCCUGGAUUCAGCGGCGGACGGGUGAGUAAUGCCUAGGAAUCUGCCUGGUAGUGGGGGAUAACGUCCGGAAACGGGCGCUAGUACCGCAUACGUCCUGAGGGAGAAAGUGGGGGAUCUUCGGACCUCACGCUAUCAGAUGAGCCUAGGUCGGAUUAGCUAGUUGGUGGGGUAAAGGCCUACCAAGGCGACGAUCCGUAACUGGUCUGAGAGGAUGAUCAGUCACACUGGAACUGAGACACGGUCCAGACUCCUACGGGAGGCAGCAGUGGGGAAUAUUGGACAAUGGGCGAAAGCCUGAUCCAGCCAUGCCGCGUGUGUGAAGAAGGUCUUCGGAUUGUAAAGCACUUUAAGUUGGGAGGAAGGGCAGUAAGUUAAUACCUUGCUGUUUUGACGUUACCAACAGAAUAAGCACCGGCUAACUUCGUG